rnacentral:rRNA from 1 species
GAUGAACGCUGGCGGCGUGCCUAAUACAUGCAAGUCGAGCGAACAGACGAGGAGCUUGCUCCUCUGACGUUAGCGGCGGACGGGUGAGUAACACGUGGAUAACCUACCUAUAAGACUGGGAUAACUUCGAGAAACCGGAGCUAAUACCGGAUAAUAUAUUGAACCGCAUGGUUCAAUAGUGAAAGACGGUUUUGCUGUCACUUAUAGAUGGAUCCGCGCCGCAUUAGCUAGUUGGUAAGGUAACAGCUUACCAAGGCAACGAUGCGUAGCCGACCUGAGAGGGUGAUCGGCCACACUGGAACUGGGACACGGUCCAGACUCCUACGGGAGGCAGCAGUAGGGAAUCUUCCGCAAUGGGCGAAAGCCUGACGGAGCAACGCCGCGUGAGUGAUGAAGGUCUUCGGAUCGUAAAACUCUGUUAUUAGGGAAGAACAAAUGUGUAAGUAACUAUGCACGUCUUGACGGUACCUAAUCAGAAAGCCACGGCUAACUACGUG